rnacentral:lncRNA from 10 species
GAAAUUUAAAAAUAGACAUUAAAAUUAAAAAAUCAAUUGAAAAAAUGAACUCUAGGCUGGAUACCUUUGAAAAGGGGAUUACUGAAUUGGAGGGGAGGACUUCACACAAUCAUGGUCAAAGACAAGAAUAACAUGAGAGAACCAUGAAGGAGUAUUGACGUUAGACUGUGAGGAUUCCAGGAGAAAAUGAAGGGAAAGUUAAUUUUUACAAAAGCG